ensembl:lncRNA
GUUAUCUAAGUUUCAAGAGGAAGUUGCAAAGAGAAAAAGAUAAGAACCAGUUAUAACCAUCUAGGCCAGAGGUCCCCUACCUUUUUAGCACCAGGGACUGAUUUCAUGGAAGACAAUUUUUCCACAGACAGGGGUUGGGGGGGAAUGGUUUUGGUUCUGGCUGCCAGUCACCUCCUGCUCUGUGGCCCAGUUUCCAACAGGCCAUGGGCAAGUACCAGUCCAUGGCCUGGGGGCUUGGGAACCCCUGAUCUAGGUCCAAGAUGGUGGAAGAUUUGGCUUCCAGUAGUAGACCUUGAGCCUCAUUACAAGCUUCUUGUAACUAGCUAAACGACACACCUGCCAGUUGCCAUGACAACAACUAGAAAAGCCCAAACAAAGAUGGGAAAGAAAGGAGUGCUGCAUAAGUUCUGGGUCUGAACCACCCGUUAUUCUGGUCUCAGCACGGGUUUUGUUAUUGGCUGUGAGAAUCCAACUGGAAAGAGAACCUCCUUGGCGGAGACAAGGGGUCUUGGUCCAAGCUACAACCCCGAGGAGAGUCCAGUUAGCCAUUCUGGUAACAGAAUGAGUUCCCUAUGAGAUAUAGAGCGAAGGUGCCUGCUUUCCCUGGGACAGCCCCAGUUCAUACCUGAUUUCAAGGACCUUUCUGCUCCCCCUCAGGGUUUUCCCAACUGGAGCUCAUCCUGGCAGCAUCCUGGUUGACACUGGAGGUGGACUGAAUCCUGCCCACAGACUUUCCUGAUGAUAUGAAUCACCGGAACAACAGAAGUGGACCAGCACGCAGGAUCUGGAGCUCAGGGUGGCAGAGUGAAAGUGAAGUGAAGUCGCUCAGUCCUGUCCGACUCUCUGCAACCCCAUGGACUGCAGCCUACCAGGCUCCUCCAUCCAUGGGGUUUUCCAGGCAGGGUGGCAGAGAGCAGCCUGUAAUUCUAACAGCCACCAACUCUGGUUAUGCCUCAGUGUUUCUCGCUUUUGUCCUUUGUUCUCAACACAAAACGUGACUAAGAACAAUGUCUUGAAGUAUGUGAGCUGGUCAAGAACAGACAGUAAAGAGGGAUGCUUCCUAGUGUGCAGGAGACAAUUUAGGGAAGAGAAAGGCCAAGCUGAUUGAGUUGUCAAAUUCUUCCUCUCAGGUAGCAACAGAUUGUUACUUAAUCAGUUAUUUCUCAGAAGUGCUGAGUUCUACCUUCUGUUUCUCUUGUGUUCUAAUUUGGGGUCCUAGAGGUACUCACAAAUUAGCCAAACAGCACAGGAUUCAAAACAGUUGUAUGUGCUGGAUGAAAGGCAUUUUAAAAAAUUAAUUAACUUAUUUCAAUUGGAAGUGAAUUACUUUAUACUAUUGCAGUGGUUUUUGCCAUUCAUUGACAUGAAUCAGCCAUGGGUGUACAUGUGUUCCCCAUCCUGAACCCCCCUCCCACCUCCCUCCCCAUCCCACCCCUCAGGGUCAUCCCAGUGCACCGUCCCUGAGCACCCUGUCUCAUGCAUCAAACCUGGACUGGUAGUCUAUUUCAUAUAUGGUAAUAUACAUGUUUCAGAGCUAUUCUCUUAAAUCAUCCC